AAACUUAGUAUACAUGUGCCCUAUGAUAUGAUCUUUCUAAUUUAAAUGCCAAAUUAGAGUUUUGACCCCAAUUUUACGGUUCACUGAACAUAGAAAAUGAUAGUGCAAAUUUCAGGUUAAAGUUUUUGGCUUCAGGUUAAAGUUUUUGGUCAAGGUAGUUUUUGAUGAAGUUGAAGGCCAAUCAACUUGAAACUUAGUAUACAUGUGCCCUAUGAUAUGAUCUUUUCUAAUUUAAAUGCCAAAUUAGAGUUUUGACCCCAAUUUUACGGUUCACUGAACAUAGAAAAUGAUAGUGCAAAUUUCAGGUUAAAGUUUUUGGUCAAGGUAGUUUUUGAUGAAGUUGAAGUCCAAUCAACUUGAAACUUAGUAUUACAUGUGCCCUAUGAUAUGAUCUUUCUAAUUUAAAUGCCAAAUUAGAGUUUUGACCCCCAAAUUUUUACGGUUCACUGAACAUAGAAAUGAUAGUGCAAAUUUCAGGUUAAAGUUUUUGGUCAAGGUAGUUUUUGAUGAAGUUGAAGUCCAAUCAACUUGAAACUUAGUAUACAUGUGCCCUAUGAUAUGAUCUUUCUAAUUUAAAUGCCAAAUUAGAGUUUUGACCCCAAUUUUACGGUUCACUGAACAUAGAAAAUGAUAGUGCAAAUUUCAGGUUAAAGUUUUUGGUCAAGGUAGUUUUUGAUAAAGUAGAAGUCCAAUCAACUUGAAACUUAGUAUACAUGUGCCCUAUGAUAUGAUCUUUCUAAUUUAAAUGCCAAAUUAGAGUUU
rnacentral:lncRNA from 1 species